UUACAGGCCCACACAGCGGAAGCAAGCCAGUUGACUCAGCCCAUAACCAAGAAAAAUGAAGGUAGUUGGAAAACAAGGGACCCUCCUGUGGAUGAUUCUCCUGUGCCAAUGGGUAUCUGUGAUAAAUACUGGUAAUAGAGAGAUCACCUCA